rnacentral:rRNA from 1 species
GAGAGAGACAUGCGCGCAUAUCAAUAAGCGGAGGAAAAGAAACUAACAAGGAUUCCCCUAGUAACGGCGAGUGAAGCGGGAAGAGCUCAAAUUUGAAAUCUUAAAGGGUUUCCCUUUACGAAUUGUAGUUUAAAGAAGUGUUUUCUGUUGAGGUUUUGGUAAAAGUUCUUUGGAAUAGGACAUCAUAGAGGGUGAGAAUCCCGUAUUUGACCUUUACUUUCAACUUUGUGAUACACUUUCAAAGAGUCGGAUUGUUUGGGAAUGCAGUCCAAAAUGGGUGGUAAAUUUCAUCUAAAGCUAAAUAUUGGCGAGAGACCGAUAGCGAACAAGUACCGUGAGGGAAAGAUGAAAAGAACUUUGAAAAGAGAGUUAAACAGUACGUGAAAUUGUCAAAAGGGAAGCGUUUGACACCAGUGUUGUUUUUCUGAAAAUCAAUUAAAGAACUGUUUAUGCUAAGCUGUUUAGACUUUAUCAGCUAACUGUUUAGUUUUGAGCUUUUCUUUAAUGCACUUUUCAGUUAACAAGUCAACAUCAAUUUCUUUUGCUGUAAAAAAGCUUGAGGAAGGUGGCUUGAGAUUCGUCUUAAGUGUUUAUAGCCUCUUGCCUAUGCAGUCGGAGAGAUUGAGGUCUGCAGCGUAGAUCCUUCGGGGCUAAAUGCAUUUGUGCUAAGUUAUAGCAUUUUAUAGACAACUUGUUGACUAUGAUUUGUCUUGUAGCUUACUCGCUUAUGUUAUUUUACCUACGCUUAGGAUGUUGACGCAUGAGAUAUACGC